rnacentral:tRNA from 1 species
GGGACAGUAGCUUAGUGGUAGAGUGCUUGCCUAGUAUGCAUGAGGCCCUGGGAUCAAUCCUCAGUUCCUA